rnacentral:tRNA from 1 species
GCCGGCGUAGCCCAAUUGGCAGGAGGCACGGCCUUUAGGUGGCCGCCAGUGUGGGUUCGAAUCCCACCGCCGGCA